AUACGGAGGAUGCAAGCGUUAUCCGGAUUUAUUGGGCGUAAAGGGUGCGUAGGCGGAGGUGUAAGUCAGGGGUGAAAUGCCGCAGCUCAACUGCGGAACUGCCUUUGAUACUGCUUUUCUGGAGUUCGGAUGAGGUGGGAGGAAUGGGCUGUGUAGCGGUGAAAUGCAUAGAUAUUGGGAAGAACACCGAUUGCGAAGGCAUCUCACGAAUCCGAGACUGACGCUGACGCACGAAAGCGUGGGGAUCAAGCAUGAUUAGAUUCCCUGGUAGUCCACGCAGUAAACGAUGAUAAGUAUCCGUCGGCGAUAGAAUGUCGGUGGCCAAGCGAAAGCGAUAAGUUAUCCGCCUGGGGAGUACGUUCGCAAGAAUGAAACUCAAAUGAAUGGACGGGG
rnacentral:rRNA from 1 species